GACGAACGCUGGCGGCGUGCUUAACACAUGCAAGUCGAACGGAAAGGCCCUGCUUUUGUGGGGUGCUCGAGUGGCGAACGGGUGAGUAACACGUGAGUAACCUGCCCUUGACUUUGGGAUAACUUCAGGAAACUGGGGCUAAUACCGGAUAGGAGCUCCUGCUGCAUGGUGGGGGUUGGAAAGUUUCGGCGGUUGGGGAUGGACUCGCGGCUUAUCAGCUUGUUGGUGGGGUAGUGGCUUACCAAGGCUUUGACGGGUAGCCGGCCUGAGAGGGUGACCGGCCACAUUGGGACUGAGAUACGGCCCAGACUCCUACGGGAGGCAGCAGUGGGGAAUAUUGCACAAUGGGCGGAAGCCUGGUGCAGCAACGCCGCGUGCGGGGUGGCGGCCUUCGGGUUGGAAACCGCUUUCGCCUGUGACGAAGCGUGAGUGACGGUAAUGGGUAAAGAAGCACCGGCUAACUACGUG
rnacentral:rRNA from 1 species